GCCCACUCCUGCUGAUUCUGAGCUCCUCUUUCCAUCCCCAUCUCCCUCCAGCCUGACAAUCCCUUUGACCAAGGCUGCUUCACAAAUUGUUACAUCCAGAUGUGUAUGCCACUGGGACCCAAGUAAGUUGGUAAACCUAGGGCUGGUGGGAAGGGGUGAAGCUGGGUCCCUUUCCCUGGUCCCUUACUCCAUCUCUAAGACCCUGAUGCUCCCUGCUCCAUUCCUUUGGGGUUUUGUCUAUAGCACUCUUGGAGCCUCUGGGAAUUUCAUUCUGUCUUGCCCUUGUAGGUUCUUGCUACAAGAAAUGGGGGUAGAGGGUAACAGCUGCCUGGAUGAUGCUCCUGGAUGAGAGCCCUGAGCUUUAUGCUUUCCAAGCUGAGGUUCAGUGAGGGUGGUCAGGGAGAACUGGCCAGUGUGGUAGUGACCCCUUGCCCUUGAACUUUUGUUCUGCAGGUACAUGACCGAAGCUGUCAGUCUGCAAAUAGAGCUGGGGACUGAAUGGGAGCCAACAGAGGUACUGAGCUGACUCCUGAGUCCUUGUAUGGGCAUGUGCCACCACACAUGAUAAUUUUAAAAGAGAUGGGAAGGAAGAUUGUUGAAAUUCUUCCCUGUAUUCAUGAGUCUAUGUUAUUUACCUUUCCUCCCUAUAUUUCUGUAGGUCUGAAAUAUUUCAAAUAAAAGUUUUGGUUACAAUGAUUGCCUCCUCUUUUCUCUUUCCUUUUUUAUUCUUUG
rnacentral:lncRNA from 1 species